AGUCGAUUCUUGCAGUUUUAUAUAAUCUCUGCUCCUUUCUUUGAGUGUUAGAAUCCAUGGCAAAUGACAAUAAAGAAAUAGCAUUUGGCUCAUUUGGUCUCUCUUCAGCACUGUAGACGGGAACUGGCUUAUGAAUUCGUGGGUCUGGUGAAAUGGAUCUCUAUAAGGCUGUUGUUUUUACCUCUGAUGCUGGGGUUUGACAUCCACAGCCUGGGCAGCUAGGAAGGGAAGGUCACAGCGGGCUGGACCCCACCGGAUGAACUCAAACUGUGUUUGCUCCUGUUGCCUCUGACUUUACUGGCAUUAAAAAGGAUUGGAGGAGAAGGCGGAAGAUGGCGGAAGAGUAAGACGCGGAGAUCACCUUCCUCCCCACAGAUACACCAGAAAUACAUCUACACGUGGAACAACUCCUACAGAACACCUACUGAAGGCUGGCAGAAGACCUCAGACCUCC